rnacentral:rRNA from 1 species
GCUAAGGUAGCAUAGUCAUUUGUUAUUUAAUUGGUAACUGGAAUGAAAGGUUAAACUAACUUACUAAGUUUGUGUAAUUAUGUAGUAGAUUAAAGUUAAGGUAAGAAUUCUUUAAUUUUCUAGGGGACGAUAAGACCCUAGAAGCUUAACAAGCAUAGUGUCUGGGUUUGUUUUAGAGGUAAGUUUGUUUUACUGGGGCGGUAAAAGUAAUUAAGCUAUUUAUUAUUUAAAGGAUCCUUUAAAUAAAGAGAGAAUGGAGAAGUUACUCUAGGGGUAACAGUGCAAUAUUUUUGGAGAGAUCUUAUUGAUAAAUAUGUUUGCAACCUCGAUG